AUUGAACGCGGGCGGCAGGCUUAACACAUGCAAGUCGAACGAUGACACUCUAGCUUGCUAGAGAUGAUUAGUGGCGGACGGGUGAGUAACAUUUAGGAAUCUGCCUAGUAGUGGGGGAUAGCUCGGGGAAACUCGAAUUAAUACCGCAUACGACCUACGGGUGAAAGGGGGCGCAAGCUCUUGCUAUUAGAUGAGCCUAAAUCAGAUUAGACUAGUUGGUGGGGUAAAGGCCUACCAAGGCGACGAUCUGUAACUGGUCUGAGAGGAUGAUCAGUCACACCGGAACUGAGACACGGUCCGGACUCCUACGGGAGGCAGCAGUGGGGAAUAUUGGACAAUGGGGGCAACCCUGAUCCAGCCAUGCCGCGUGUGUGAAAAAGGCCUUUUGGUUGUAAAAGCACUUUAAGACAGGGAGGAGAGGCUAAUGGUUAAUACCCAUUAGAUUA
rnacentral:rRNA from 1 species